rnacentral:rRNA from 1 species
AGUGAACGCUGGCGGUAGGCCUAACACAUGCAAGUCGAACGGCAGCACAGGAGAGCUUGCUCUCUGGGUGGCGAGUGGCGGACGGGUGAGGAAUACAUCGGAAUCUACUUUUUCGUGGGGGAUAACGUAGGGAAACUUACGCUAAUACCGCAUACGACCUACGGGUGAAAACAGGGGAUCUUCGGACCUUGCGCGAUUGAAUGAGCCGAUGCCGGAUUAGCUAGUUGGCGGGGUAAAGGCCCACCAAGGCGACGAUCCGUAGCUGGUCUGAGAGGAUGAGCAGCCACACUGGAACUGAGACACGGUCCAGACUCCUACGGGAGGCAGCAGUGGGGAAUAUUGGACAAGGGGCGCAAGCCUGAUCCAGCCAUACCGCGUGGGUGAAGAAGGCCUUCGGGUUGUAAAGCCCUUUUGUUGGGAAAGAAAUCCAGCUGGCUAAUACCCGGUUGGGAUGACGGUGCCCAAAGAAUAAGCACCGGCUAACUUCGUGCCAGCCGCCGCGGUAAUAC